AACGCACAUUGCGCCCGCUGGUAUUCCGGCGGGCAUGCCUGUUCGAGCGUCAUUUCACCACUCAAGCCCAGCUUGGUGUUGGAGCACCCGGCCGCCUGGCGAUCGGGGCCCCCAAGUACAUCGGCGGUCUCGCUAGGACCCUGAGCGCAGUAACUCGCGGUAAAACGCGCCUCGCUCGGAAGUUCCCAGCGGGCUUCCAGCCGCUAAACCCCCUAAUUUUCUUAGGUUGACCUCGGAUCAGGUAGGAAUACCCGCUGAACUUAA
rnacentral:misc_RNA from 1 species